UAGGGAAUCUUCCGCAAUGGACGCAAGUCUGACGGAGCAACGCCGCGUGAGUGAAGAAGGAUUUCGGUUCGUAAAACUCUGUUGUUAGAGAAGAACAGCGCAUAGAGUAACUGUUAUGCGUGUGACGGUAUCUAACCAGAAAGCCACGGCUAACUACGUGCCAGCAGCCGCGGUAAUACGUAGGUGGCAAGCGUUGUCCGGAUUUAUUGGGCGUAAAGCGAGCGCAGGCGGUCAAUUAAGUCUGAUGUGAAAGCCCCCGGCUCAACCGGGGAGGGUCAUUGGAAACUGGUUGACUUGAGUGCAGAAGAGGAGAGUGGAAGUCCAUGUGUAGCGGUGAAAUGCGUAGAUAUAUGGAGGAACACCAGUGGCGAAGGCGACUCUCUGGUCUGUAACUGACGCGGAGGCUCGAAAGCGUGGGUAGCAAACAGG
rnacentral:rRNA from 1 species